UACAGAGGUGGCAAGCGUUGUUCGGAAUUACUGGGCGUAAAGGGCGAGUAGGUGGCCAUCUAAGUCAGACGUGAAAUCCCCCGGCUUAACCUGGGAACUGCGUCUGAUACUGGACGGCUUGAGUAUGGGAGAGGAAUGUAGAAUUCCAGGUGUAGCGGUGAAAUGCGUAGAUAUCUGGAGGAAUACCGGUGGCGAAGGCGGCAUUCUGGACCAUUACUGACACUGAAUCGCGAAAGCUAGGGGAGCGAAACGGG
rnacentral:rRNA from 1 species